rnacentral:rRNA from 1 species
GACGAACGCUGGCGGCGUGCUUAACACAUGCAAGUCGAACGGAAAGGCCCUGCUUGCAGGGUACUCGAGUGGCGAACGGGUGAGUAACACACGGGUGUUCUGCCCUGCACUUCGGGGUAAGACUGGGAAACUGUGUCUAAUACCGGAGAGGAGCCAUCCUGAGUGUGAGGGUUGGAAAGUUUUUUCGGUGUGGGGUGGGCUCGCGGCCUAUCAGCUUGGUGGUGGGGUAAUGGGCUACCAAGGGGGCCGCGGGUUGCCGGCCUGGGUGGGUGGACGGCCAAAAUGGGGCUGAGGUACGGCCCAGACUCCUAACGGGAGGAGGAGGGGGGGAUAAUGGCCCAUGGGGGGGAGCCUGGUGCAAGGAAGGCGCGUGGCGGAAUGCCGGCUUCGGGUUGUAAACUCCUUUCGGUCGGGACGGAAGUUUGUGUGACGGUAAUUAGAUAAGAAGCACCGGCUAACUACGUG